CCAAUAUAGGGCCUGAUAUUCCCAGGACAGAUUCUUCCUCUCCCAUCACCUGCACCAAGCAGGAGUCCAGGUCUUCCAGCAGCUGAUGGAGUCCAGAGCAAAGCUUGUCCAGGAAGGUGGAGUCCCAGGCAGCAGAGGAGUGCUCUGUGUGGAGGAGGAGGAAGGUCUGCUGGAGCAUCUCGUGGGCCUUCUGCAGCUGGCCGCCAUCCACCACCUCCCAGAGCUGUCCUUCACUCAGGAGAUUAGGGAGAUCCUCCUCAGUUGUCUCAGAGGCAUCAGGGUAUUCCUAUGAAAUUGUCCAUGGCCCAGAGGCAGGUUACUGCCCAGGGAACAGAUGAUACUACAGCUACCCACCACGUGGGCUAUCAGACAGGAUGGGCAUUGAGGAUCUUGGCAAUGCUGGUAGCCUGAAUGAGGUGUGUGUCUGUGUGAGUCUUGGCCCUUACUUUCUCUGAAGUCCUUUCUGUAAAUGUCUCUUAAAUAUAAAACAUUGUAAUUUUUCAUUUUCUGGGUGUUCUUGUAUACUCUUUAUUCUUUUUUUUUUUUUUUUGCUUUCUAUUAUGUAUGCUCUAAAUAGAUUAGAAUACAUAAACCAUUUAAUUAUUAUUUUUGCUUUUUCAAUUUAACUUUAAUUUGCCAAAAAAACUUCAGGUGUUUCAAUGUAAAUGAAUUCAAAGCUUUCAAAUGAGAAAAGUCUCUUGGUUGGAGUUAAAAGUAUGCAAAUAGUUCUCCUUGCUAAGAACAAAAUUUUGCCUCUGUUCCUGGGCUCUGGUUUUGACCUCUUUAUUUUGUUUGUUAGCCAAUCAACCUCAUUCCUCUGAACUUGUCCUCUUAAGAAAAGAUUUACCAGACCUUAGGAAAACGGUCUAUGUUUUGUUCACAAUCGUAUCAUUAUAUAGGAGUCAUAUUAAUUGCUCAAAACAUUAUUAUUAUUAUUAUUAUUAUCAUCAUCAUCAUUAUUAUGCUUUUUAGGGCUGCACCUGUGGCAUAUGGAUGUUCCCUGGCUAGGGGGCGAAUCAGAGCUGCAGCUGCCAGCCUACACAACAGCCAUAGCAGCACAGGAUCCCAGCUGUGACUGAGAUCUACAUCGUAACUUGUGGCAACACUGGAUCCUUAACCCACUGAGCAAGGCCAGGAAUGGAAUCUGCAUCCUCAUGGAUACUAGUCAGAUUCUUAACCUGCUGAUACACAACAGUAACUCCAGGACAGAAUUAUUAGUGAAUAAUAUUCUCAGAUUUUGUGUACAAAAAGUAUGACCAGGUGGCAGUGCUUCACUGGAGCCUCAGAACCAGAAAUGCAACUGGCAUUUUUCACUCUUUCUACAUUUUCCUACUAAUGGCUUUUCAGGCUAGUCCCCAGAUCCCUGGCUGAUUUCUUCACAAGUGUGUUUCAGUUCUUAUCCCAAGAUCUACAACAUAUUUAUCCUUUACCACUCCAUCUCCCCUCACCCAUCAGCUCAUGUUUCAUCUCACAUGAUGUGUAGCACACAUAGCUACACAUCUUCCAGUUGAACUUUAACUCUCUCACUCUUUAAUGUGCUCCCAGAGUCAGCUUAUCCCACUUUCAACUUUUAGCAAAACUUUCAUGAGGGGUAAUUGCUUUUGUCCCCCCAAAAAAUCAACUGCCCCAGACCCAAGAGUGUUUCUGUGAACAACCUCUCUUCUUUUCAUUGGAUGCUCAGGUGUCAAAUAUUUCCAUAGCUUCCAGAUGACACAAGCCAACAUUAUGCAUCAUGUGUUGUGUGUGUGUGAUGCAUAUAUGUGCACAGGAAGCACAUGUUUGUGUAAAGUAGCUUUUUUUCAUUUUUAGCUUAAAGGGAUUUUAUUUUAUUGUGUUGAUUUUGAUACUGAGCUCAAUUCAUUAAAGUGUUGAAUACUUACUAUGUUGUUUAGUUUGUGAGCUGGCCACCGAGAUUCAGUGAUGAUUUACUUGACAUUAGAAACUUAUAUUGAAGUAAUUAAUAGCUGUCCCUAGAUUCAGUCAGUACAAUUCUACUGAGCCUAUUUGACUCAUGAUUCUCAGCUUCACACUGAAAAUGUAGGGCAGUAAAUCCAGUGUAUAAUACUAGAAAACUUUUCCAUCUUUGCUUGACUAGUUUCAGAGUCUUUAAAACUUUAUAUGUUCAUUUUUAACCUAGUAUUUUUCUGGGCCAGGGUUGUCUUGUUAUUCUGAAUUAGCUUCUAUUUGACCUUUAUCUCUUAGUUAACAAAAUAGGGAAGUAAAAAUGGAAAUAUAAAGGGUCUGUAUCAUUAUUUUCCAUAAUUUUCAAUACACCUUUUUCUCUUUCUCCAUUCAGCUUUCUUAGAAAGCUGUCCUUAUAGUUGGAUGUACUGAAGUAAAAGGAAAACAAAUAUAAAUCUGACUAUGAUGAUGGUGAAAGAAGUAAAGUGACUGCACAGGUGAAAAAAAUGAUAAUUGGAGUACUCUUAGCACCUUUUCACCUAUUCCAGUAUGGUUUCUGCUGAUUAAUUCCAUCAAAUCAGCUUUCACUAAGGUCAGUUCUAAGUAGUGGAUGGCUUCAGUACACAGAGAAGCUUACUGGCAUUCAACAUCCUAUUAAUCUAAAGGAUGAUAAAUGAUCAUUAUAAAUAUAUCAUGAUUUUAAAUAAAUAUAAUACUUAUUAAUAUUAUUUGCCAAUACAUGAAAUCCACCCAGAGAUAAAUUAUUUUAAAAGGAGAAAACUAUGCAGAAAAAAGUCCAUAAUUCUUUCUAGUUCCCACUCCAUUUCUCUUCUGCAUUUCACAAGGCAAAUCUUUCACAUCUUUCAAUAUUUUCUAUAUAUAAUGUCAAACAUUUAUUCACCCUUCCUCCAAUGUUGUUUCUGGCAAUUAAUUCCAUCAAACCAGCUCUCACAAAGAUCACCAAUGACAUCUAUUUUCCUGAUAUACUGGACAGUUUCAAUCCACAUUUGGAAUGAAGCAAUUCUUGAGAGCAGUUUUAGUCUUUUAAAUUGGCUCUUAUUGCCAUUCCCCUUUAUCCUGUUAACUUAUGCCCAUUCUACCUCUGUUUCCUUGGUGGGUCUUUCCUCCCUUUACUCGUUGAAGAUUCCAUGAGUCAAUGUUAAGUCCUGUCUCAUUUUAGUCACUCUUUACACAUGACUACUUUUGUUCCAUGGCUUUCAGUUAAUGGAAAUGCUUGUAAAUUGCAAACUCAAAAAUCUAUUUUCCAAAGGAUAUUUGCACUUGAAUGUUGGCCACUUAAAUGUGGAGACUACUGCUUUUGAUUUUAUUUCCUGACAUGUCUUACUCUAGCUUCUGCUGAGAAAUUUUUUUUUUACUUCUUCUUAGUAUAACACUUAUGUAACUAAUAUUAAUUAUGUUUAUUGUUUUAGGUUGGUUUCUCUACAAAAAUCAAAAAUAAAAGAAAGUACAGUUGAACUUCUUACAUUCACCUCUGUUUCCUGAGGGCAGCAUAAAACCUGACUUAGAGGAAGUCGCUUUUUACUUAUAACUUGGAUAACACAGUAAUGAGUAGUUUUCUGUACUAUCCAUACUUUUUUCAGGUUACAAUCAGAUGUGGUGGAAUGGUUUUUCAGGAAAGUAAACAUUUUGACUAAUUGCUUGUUUGAUAUUUUAUUUUUUAUUGAAGUAUAACUGAUUUACAAUGUGUUGGUCUCUGGUUAUAGCUAAGUGAUUCAUUUAUAUAUAUGAAUUCAUAUAUAUAUUCUUUUUCAUGUUCUAUUUCAUUACGGUUCAUUAUAAGAUAUUGAGUACAUUUCCCUGUGCUAUAGGCAGGAAUUUGUUCUUUAUGUAUUUUAUAUACAGUAGUUUGUAUCUGCUAAUCCCAAACUCCUAAUUUAUCUCCCUCACUCAGGUUUUGCCUUUGGUAACCAUAAAUUUGUUCUCUAUGUCUGUGAAUCUGGUUCAGUAUUGUAAAUAAGUUCAUUUGUGUCAUAUUUUAAAUCCCACAUGUAAGUGAUAUCAUAUGGUAUUUGUCUUUCUCUCUCUGACUUAACUUCACUGGGUAUGAUAAUCUCUUGGUCCAUCCAAGUUUGUACAAAUGGCACUAUUUCCUUCUUUUUUAUGGAUGACUAGUAUACCAUUAUGUGUGUGUAUAGAUGUGUUUUCUAAAAUAAUAAAUAUAUACAAGAAUUUUUCUAUAAUAAAAAUGUAAUG
rnacentral:lncRNA from 1 species